AAAACGUGGAGUCCUUGCACAAUAAAGCAAGAUGGGCCACACCAUAACCAUGCGCAUGCCAAGCUGUAGGCGGCUUUGUCCAAGAAGUACCAUCCGACUUUAUUAUCUCUCCCUUCCCUUCUCCACUUCAGCCCUUUUUAAGUCGAUUAAUUUUUCCAUAGAGAUCAGCUGCGCCUUUGUUAAGCAACUAGAAAGAGGAAAUGAGUGAAACCAACAAGCAAAACGCCAGCAGAGAUGGUGGAAGUUCUGCAGCUUCUGGAAGCAACAGCAGCUCUCGGCAGGCAGCAGAGGCCUCCGGAAGGGAAAAACCAAUGAGGCCACCAAAGAGGGGAAGUGUGAUGAAAAGAAUUAUUGCUGAUUUUAAUAAAAGUUUGUCUUCUAACUCUCCAACCGCUUAGAUAACAGUCUCAGUUGUGGCCUUGUAUAUAUAAUCUCGAGUGAGUAAAAGGUCUCUCUUCUCUUCUUCUUGGAAGACGUUUGAUUCUAUAAAGCGAGCAGCCAGAGAAGAAUUAGCUCAAGAUGAAGUUCCUGGAUAUGUUGCUCCAAUGACAAUAGGAAGUGAGUGUCGGGUAUGUGUCCACUAAGAAUGUUCAACUUUCUUCCGAAAUUGUUCCUUAUGUUUAGGGUCCACACUCAAUAUCUAAUCUAUAUGUCAGGUAUGAGUACUUUGAAAACAAAAAAUAAAAAAAAAAAUCCGAGCAAUGAAGGUUUCUAUAGUGUAGAAGAAGUGGGUUUAAUUUCUGUGAAGUGUGGAAAGUGAAUGUACAUAUUUUAAUGUUAUAAUUCAUCCGAUCUUAAGAACAGUAUAUACUUUGAUUAGAGAGUAUAUAUACUUUAAUUUCUGUGAAGUGUGGAAAGUGAAUGUACAUAUUUUAAUGUUAUAAUUCAUCCGAUCUUACGAACGGUAUAUACUUUGAUUAGAGAGUAUAUAUACUUUAAUUUCUGUGAAGUGUGGGAAAGUGAGUAUAUAUACUUUAACAAUAAAUAAAACUUUUAUGUAUAUAUUCU
rnacentral:lncRNA from 1 species